rnacentral:rRNA from 1 species
UACGGAGGGUGCGAGCGUUGUCCGGAAUCAUUGGGCGUAAAGGGCGCGUAGGCGGCUCAUGAAGGCUGUGGUGAAAGUCCGGGGCUCAACCUCGGAUCGGCCGUGGCGACUCGUGGGCUGGAGCACUGUAGAGGCGGGUGGAAUUCCGGGUGUAGCGGUGGGAAUGCGUAGAGAUCCGGAAGAACACCAGUGGCGAAAGCGGCUUCCUGGUCCAGCACCGACGUCAGGCACGGAAAGCGUGGGGAGCAAACAGG